UCUAUACGAAUGCAAGCACUUUGAAAAGAAUUAAAAAGUACGUGAAAUUGUUGAAAGGGAAGCGUUUAUGACCAGACUUGGGCUUGGUUAAUCAUCUGGGGUUCUCCCCAGUGCACUUUUCCAGUCCAGGCCAGCAUCAGUUUUCGCCGGGGGAUAAAGGCUUCGGGAAUGUGGCUCCCUCCGGGGAGUGUUAUAGCCCGUUGCGUAAUACCCUGGCGGGGACUGAGGUUCGCGCUUCUGCAAGGAUGCUGGCGUAAUGGUCAUCAACGACCCGUCUUGAAACACGGACCAAG
rnacentral:rRNA from 1 species